AGAGUUUGAUCCUGGCUCAGGAUGAACGCUAGCGGCAGGCCUAACACAUGCAAGUCGAACGGCAGCACGACCUUCGGGUUGGUGGCGAGUGGCGCACGGGUGCGUAACGCGUAUAGAACUUACCCUUUACAGGGGGAUAGCCCGGAGAAAUCCGGAUUAAUACCCCGUAGUACUGGAUCCUGGCAUCGGGAUUUAGUUAAAGCUUCGGUGGUAAAGGAUGGCUAUGCGUCCUAUUAGCUAGAUGGUGAGGUAACGGCUCACCAUGGCUACGAUAGGUAGGGGCCCUGAGAGGGGGAUCCCCCACACUGGUACUGAGACACGGACCAGACUCCUACGGGAGGCAGCAGUGAGGAAUAUUGGACAAUGGUCGAGAGACUGAUCCAGCCAUGCCGCGUGCAGGAAGACAGCCUUAUGGGUUGUAAACUGCUUUUGUACGGGAAGAAUAAUGCCCACGUGUGGGCAGAUGACGGUACCGUACGAAUAAGGACCGGCUAACUCCGUGCCAGCAGCCGCGGUAAUACGGAGGGUCCGAGCGUUAUCCGGAAUCAUUGGGUUUAAAGGGUCCGUAGGCGGAUCAGUAAGUCAGGGGUGAAAGUUUGCGGCUCAACCGUAAAAUUGCCUUUGAUACUGCUGGUCUUGAGUUACGAUGAAGUGGCCGGAAUAUGUGGUGUAGCGGUGAAAUGCAUAGAUAUCACAUAGAACACCGAUUGCGAAGGCAGGUCACUAAUCGUGGACUGACGCUGAUGGACGAAAGCGUGGGGAGCAAACGGGAUUAGAUCCCCCGGUAGUCCACGCCGUAAACGAUGGACACUAGCUGUCGGGCUUUAAGGUUCGGCGGCCAAGCGAAAGUGAUAAGUGUCCCACCUGGGGAGUACGUUCGCAAGAAUGAAACUCAAAGGAAUUGACGGGGGCCCGCACAAGCGGUGGAGCAUGUGGUUUAAUUCGAUGAUACGCGAGGAACCUUACCAGGGCUUAAAUGUAGUGGGACAGGCUUAGAGAUAGGCUUUUCUUCGGACUCAUUACAAGGUGCUGCAUGGUUGUCGUCAGCUCGUGCCGUGAGGUGUCAGGUUAAGUCCUAUAACGAGCGCAACCCUUACCGUUAGUUGCCAGCGAGUCAAGUCGGGGACUCUAACGGGACUGCCGGUGCAAACCGUGAGGAAGGUGGGGAUGACGUCAAAUCAUCACGGCCCUUACGUCCUGGGCUACACACGUGCUACAAUGGCCGGUACAGCGGGCAGCCACUACGCAAGCAGGAGCAAAUCCACAAAACCGGUCACAGUUCGGAUCGGGGUCUGCAACCCGACCCCGUGAAGCUGGAAUCGCUAGUAAUCGGAUAUCAGCCAUGAUCCGGUGAAUACGUUCCCGGGCCUUGUACACACCGCCCGUCAAGCCAUGGAAGCCGGGAGUGCCUGAAGUCCGUCACCGUAAGGAGCGGCCUAGGGCAAAAUUGGUAACUAGGGCUAAGUCGUAACAAGGUAGCC
rnacentral:rRNA from 1 species